GUGUGUAUGUUAGGAAUGUAGUGUGUGUGUAGGUGGUGCAGUGUGUGUGUGUGUAUAGGGGUCUAGUGUGUGUUUGAAGGACCCAGAAUGUGCAUAGGAGAUCUAGUGAGUGUGAGUAUAUAGCAGAUUCAGAGUGUAUAUAGGGAUCUAGUGUGUGUAUGUGUGUAGAUGAUCCAGCGUUGGGUAAGAGAUCUAGUGGAUGUCUGGAAUGUAAUGUGUUUAGGGGUGCAGUAUGU